CGCUGGCGGCGUGCCUAAUACAUGCAAGUAGGACGCACAGUUUAUACCGUAGCUUGCUACACCAUAGACUGUGAGUUGCGAACGGGUGAGUAACGCGUAGGUAACCUGCCUAUUAGAGGGGGAUAACUAUUGGAAACGAUAGCUAAUACCGCAUAACAGUAUGUAACACAUGUUAGAUGCUUGAAAGAUGCAAUUGCAUCGCUAGUAGAUGGACCUGCGUUGUAUUAGCUAGUAGGUAGGGUAAUGGCCUACCUAGGCGACGAUACAUAGCCGACCUGAGAGGGUGAUCGGCCACACUGGGACUGAGACACGGCCCAGACNCCUACGGGAGGCAGCAGNNNGGAAUCUUCGGCAAUGGGGGGAACCCUGACCGAGCAACGCCGCGUGAGUGAAGAAGGUUUUCGGAUCSUAAAGCUCUGUUGUUAAGGAAGAACGAGUGUGAGAAUGGAAAGUUCAUACUGUGACGGUACUUAACCAGAAAGGGACGGCUAACUACGUGCCAGCAGCCGCGGUAAUACGUAGGUCCCGAGCGUUGUCCGGAUUUAUUGGGCGUAAAGCGAGCGCAGGCGGUUAGAAAAGUCUGAAGUGAAAGGCAGUGGCUCAACCAUUGUAGGCUUUGGAAACUGUUUAACUUGAGUGCAGAAGGGGAGAGUGGAAUUCCAUGUGUAGCGGUGAAAUGCGUAGAUAUAUGGAGGAACACCGGUGGCGAAAGCGGCUCUCUGGUCUGUAACUGACGCUGAGGCUCGAAAGCGUGGGGAGCGAACAGGAUUAGAUACCCUGGUAGUCCACGCCGUAAACGAUGAGUGCUAGGUGUUGGGUCCUUUCCGGGACUCAGUGCCGCAGCUAACGCAUUAAGCACUCCGCCUGGGGAGUACGACCGCAAGGUUGAAACUCAAAGGAAUUGACGGGGGCCCGCACAAGCGGUGGAGCAUGUGGUUUAAUUCGAAGCAACGCGAAGAACCUUACCAGGUCUUGACAUCCCGAUGCUAUUUCUACUCCUUGGUCAUUUCUG
rnacentral:rRNA from 1 species